UCCCGGUUGGCCCGGGCAGUCUCGCGUGAUAUAUCCAACACACGAUAAGGGUUGCGCUCGUUGCGGGACUUAACCCAACAUCUCACGACACGAGCUGACGACGGCCAUGCAGCACCUGUCACUAGGCUCCCGAAGGCACCCCCUGAUUUCUCAAGGGUUCCUAGGAUGUCAAGCCUCGGUAAGGUUCUUCGCGUAUCGUCGAAUUAAACCCCAUGCUCCACCGCUUGUGCGGGUCCCCGUCAAUUCCUUUGAGUUUUAAGCUUGCGCUCGUACUCCCCAGGCGGCAGGCUUAUCGCGUUAGCUUCUCAGCCCAGGGGGUCGAUACCCCAGACUAAUAGCCUGCAUCGUUUACGGCGUGGACUAC
rnacentral:misc_RNA from 1 species